UUAUUUUGCAUAGAAGAUAGGCCGAGAUUUGUGACAAUGUUUCGUGAUGAUGUAAUCUUCAAUAUUGCACUUGUCCCGGCCUAUCGGAAUGCAUUAUAUU